rnacentral:misc_RNA from 1 species
GAUGAAGAACGUAGCGAAAUGCGAUAAGUAAUGCGAAUUGCAGAAUUUCCGUGAGUCAUCGAAUCUUUGAACGCACAUUGCGCCCACUGGUAUUCCGGUGGGCAUGCCUGUUCGAGCGUCAUUAUCCUCCCUCAAACCCCGGGUUUGGUGUUGGACCCAAGUUGUGUGAACAACUGGUCUCAAAGACAAUGACGGCGUCCGUGGGACCCUCGGUGCAACGAGCUUUUAGGAGCACGCAUCGAGUUGCAAGGACCUUCCGGGCCGGUCUCCUGUACCAUUUUACAAGGUUGACCUCGGAUCAGGUAGGAAUACCCGCUGAACUUAAGCAUAUCAAUAAGCGGAGGA